UCCUGGGUCAGGAAGGAACGCUAGCGGGCAGGCUUAACACAUGCAAGUCGAGGGGCAGCAUGUCCAGCAAUGGAUGAUGGCGACCCGAGGGAAGGGUGCGUAACGCGUGAGCAACAUGCCCUAUACAGGGAGAUACACCAGGGAAACUUGGUCUAAUAUCCCAUAGCAUUCAUUGAAGGCAUCUUUAAUGAAUUAAAGCUUCGGUGGUAUAGGAUUGGCUCGCGUGACAUUAGCCAGAUGGUGAGGUAACGGCUCACCAUAGCAAUGAUGUCUAGGGGUUUUGAGAGGAAGGCCCCCCACACUGGGACUGAGACACGGCCCAGACUCCUACGGGAGGCAGCAGUGAGGAAUAUUGGACAAUGGAUGGAAAUCUGAUCCAGCCAUGCCGCGUGCAGGAAGACGGCCUUAUGGGUUGUAAACUGCUUUUAUACGGGAGCAAUAAGGGUUACGAGUAAUCCGAUGAGAGUACUGUAUGAAUAAGGAUCGGCUAACUCCGUGCCAGCAGCCGCGGUAAUACGGAGGAUCCGAGCGUUAUCCGGAAUUAUUGGGUUUAAAGGGUGCGUAGGCGGCCAUUUAAGUCAGCGGUGAAAUUUUGCAGCUUAACUGUAACAGUGCCGUUGAUACUGUUUGGCUAGGACUUGGUUGUAGUGUGCGGAAUGUGUGGUGUAGCGGUGAAAUGCUUAGAUAUCACACAGAACACCGAUUGCGAAGGCAGCACACUAAGUCAUUAUUGACGCUGAGGCACGAAAGUGUGGGGAUCAAACAGGAUUAGAUACCCUGGUAGUCCACACUGUAAACGAUGAUAACUCGCUGUCGGCGAUACACAGUCGGGGCCAAGCGAAAGC
rnacentral:rRNA from 1 species